CCCUGGGAUCAUGACCUGAGCCGAAGGCAGGCCCUUAAAGGACUGAACCACCGAGGUGCCCUAGAGAAACAUUCUUCAAGUUCCUCUCUGACCAGUGUGCUGUGGCAUGUGGUAACAUGGAGACCACUGCCAGGACUCCGACAGAUGGAGGAGUUUGAAGGUCAUGGGACAUAGAGAAGUGAAAAAAGGAAAGCCAAAAAGCCAAGCCAUACUUGGUGAGCGUUGACUUCAGAGAGAAUGAGGGAGGAAGAUCACCACUGUAUCUUACGUCAGCUUUAUCCUUUCUUCAGAACUGAAACCAGGGCACAGAAGGUCUUGGAUGUCUAUAUUAACUUCAAAACACUUCAUUCUAAGUAAGGAGUCUCAGUAGGGGGACACCUCCAUGGAAAAUUGAGCUUACUCUCCAGUAAAUCUGUGAGUAACAUAAUUCCAUUAAUUACACCAAGAUAGCUCAACCUCAGCACUAUUGACAUAUUGGGACAGGACUCUUGGUGGUACUACUGACAUUCUUGUUUAAGGGAGUAUCCCAAGUAUUAAAGGUGUUUAGCAACGUUAUUUGCCUCAACCCACUAGAUACCAGUAGCACCUCCCCAUUGGACAACUGAAAAAAAUCUCCAGAGAUUUGCCAAAUAUCCUUUGCAGGGAUUAAAAAAAAAAAAUUGAGAACGACAACAUUAGACUGAACUCCUCAGGGAUAAGGGCCAUUUCUGAUUCACUUAUUAUUGUGUGGCAUGCACUGUAUCUGGCACAGAAUAAGUACGUGAUAAAGAGCAAGUUAAUGAAUUAAAGCACUAGAUUUGUGAUCAUUUGCUCAGUGUCCCGAUUGUGUUUGUACUCAGUUGUCCCCACUGCAGAUUUGCUCAGGGAUUGGACAAGGAAGGGUUGGGUUUGCUCCAUGUAAUUGUUAUGAUGAAAGUACAUUUGAAUUAAAAUUCAAAGCCCUGGUUGACCCAUUGUAGAAUACAGACAGGCAAAUAGAGCUCAGUAUGUAAUUUCAGAUCUUCCUGAACUUAUGAUGGAGUAAUAGCCUGGUAAGUCCAUCAUACAUUGAGACUAUAGUAAGUCGAAAAUGCAUGUGAAACGCCGAGCCCACCAAACACCGUCGCUUAUG